AGCUUCAUAUCGUAUUCUUGCCACAACUUGCCCAUGGUAUCUUGAUCCCGACAGUGGACAUGGCCAGACUAUGUGCUAGGCAUGGAGUAAAGGUGACAAUUGCUACCACUCCACUCAAUGCUCAUCUCUUUGCUAAAACAAUUCAAAGAGAUAGGGAAUCAGGCUUUGAAAUCAGUACUUACAUAAUCAAAUUUCCUUCAGCUGAGGUUGGGCUACCUGAAGGAUGCGAGAAUGCGAGUUCCCUCACUUCACAAGAAAUGCAAACCAAGUUCCUCAAGGCUGCUAACCUUUUCC
rnacentral:lncRNA from 1 species